AUCCUCGUCGAUGCUCUAUGGACAACAGCAGCAGCAAUCUCAGUUAUCGCAAUAUCAACAAGGCUUGCAUAGUAGCCAACUCGGCAUGAGUUCUGGCAGUGGCGGAAGCACUGGACUUCAUCACAUGCUUCAAAGUGAAUCAUCACCUCAUGGUGGUGGUUUCUCUCAUGACUUCGGCCGCGCAAAUAAGCAAGACAUUGGGAGUAGUAUGUCUGCUGAAGGGCGUGGCG
rnacentral:misc_RNA from 1 species